rnacentral:misc_RNA from 1 species
GAUGAAGAACGUAGCGAAAUGCGAUAAGUAGUGUGAAUUGAAGAAUUCAGUGAAUCAUCGAAUCUUUGAACGCACAUUGCGCCCCUUGGUAUUCCAUGGGGCAUGCCUGUUCGAGCGUCAUUUGUACCUUCAAGCUCUGCUUGGUGUUGGGUGUUUGUCUCGCCUCUGCGUGUAGACUCGCCUCAAAACAAUUGGCAGCCGGCGUAUUGAUUUCGGAGCGCAGUACAUCUCGCGCUUUGCACUCAUAACGACGACGUCCAAAAGUACAUUUUUACACUCUUGACCUCGGAUCAGGUAGGGAUACCCGCUGAACUUAAGCAUAUCAAUAAGCGGAGGA